rfam:Echinostoma caproni strain Egypt genome assembly, scaffold: ECPE_scaffold0006771
GCAUUGUUGAUGAGACCAAACCAAGUCGAAACAGCUGUCCAGUGC